UGCGUAGGCGGAUUAAUAAGUCAGUGGUGAAAUCUCCCGGCUCAACCGGGAAACUGCCAUUGAUACUGUUAGUCUAGAGUUUAGAUGAAGUGGGCGGAAUGUAGCAUGUAGCGGUGAAAUGCUUAGAUAUGCUACAGAACACCGAUUGCGAAGGCAGCUCACUAAACUAAAACUGACGCUCAUGCACGAAAGCGUGGGGAUCAAACAGGAUUAGAUACCCUGGUAGUC
rnacentral:rRNA from 1 species